rnacentral:rRNA from 2 species
GCCUGCGGAGGGAUCAUUA